rnacentral:rRNA from 1 species
GAUCCUGCCGGACCCUACUGCUAUCGGGAUAGGACUAAGACAUGCUAGUCGUGCGCCUAUUAGCCAUGGUAGAGGCGCGGCACACAGCUCAGUAGCACGUGGCUAACCUGCCCUUGGGACGGAAAAAUCCCCGGGAAACUGGGGUUAAUGUUCGAUAGGUAGAGGCUCCUGGAAUGGAUCUCUGCCAAAAAGAUGCUUAGGGCAUGCUUCUAGGUUUUGCCCAAGGAUGGGGCCGCGGCCGAUCAGGUUGUUGGUGAGGUAAUGGCUCACCAAGCCUUUAACCGGUGCGGGCCGUGAGAGCGGGAGCCCGGAGAUGGGAGCUGAGACAAGGUCCCAGGCCCUACGGGGCGCAGCAGUCGCGAAAACUUUGCAAUACACGAAAGUGUGACAGGGCUAUCCCGAGUGCCGUCCGCUGAGGAUGGCUUUUACCUAGUGUAGAUAGCUAGGAGAAUAAGGAGAGGGCAAGUCUGGUGUCAGCCGCCGCGGUAAUACCAGCUCUUCGAGUGGUAGGGACGUUUAUUGGGCCUAAAGCAUCCGUAGCCGGCUGAGCAAGUCCUUCGUUAAAUCCAGCGAUUUAAUCGUUGGAUUGCGGGGGAUACUGUUCGGCUUGGGGGUGAGAGAGGCCAACGGUAUUUCCGGGGUAGGGGUGAAAUCCUAUAAUCCCGGGAGGACCACCAGUGGCGAAGGCUGUCGGCUAGAUCAUGCCCGACGGUGAGGGAUGAAAGCUUGGGGAGCGAACCGGAUUAGAUACCCGGGUAGUCCAAGCUGUAAACGAUGCAGGCUAGGUGUUAGGGCGGCCACGUGCCGCUCUAGUGCCGCAGGGAAGCUGUUAAGCCUGCCGCCUGGGGAGUACGGCUGCAAGGCUGAAACUUAAAGGAAUUGGCGGGGGAGCACCACAAGGGGUGAAGCUUGCGGUUUAAUUGGAGUCAACGCCGGG